GUGAUGCGCCGCCCCACCGCUGCGCAACCGGCCUAGGUCGGGAGCGGAGAGGAAAGUCCGGGCAACGCAGAGCACCCUGCUUCCUAACGGGAAGGACGGCGGCGGGCGACGGCCGCCGGACAGCCAGUGCCACAGAAAACUACCGCCUGUUUGAGCUUAGGUAAAAAGCUUAGGGACUUGGCUGAACGACUCCAAGCACCAUAAGUUCUUAAGCCCUAACCGGUAAGGGUGAAAAGGUGCGGUAAGAGCGCACCAGCGGGCGGGCAACCGUUCCGGCUGGGUAAACCUCAGGGGUUGAAAGGCCAAAUAGGCCGGCAGGCGGGGCUUCGGUCCCGCAACGAGCGGCUCGCUCGUUGUCGGCGGGUAGGCUGAUGGAGCCCACGCGCGAGUGUGGGCCUAGAUAAAUGGUGGGGCCGCUGCCCUUCGCGGGGUGGCGGACAGAACCCGGCUUACAGGCGCAUCACCAAA
rnacentral:RNase_P_RNA from 1 species